rnacentral:rRNA from 1 species
AUUGAACGCUGGCGGCAGGCCUAACACAUGCAAGUCGAGCGGGGUUUCGGACCUAGCGGCGGACGGGUGAGUAAUGCGUAGGAAGCUACCCGAUAGAGGGGGAUACCAGUUGGAAACGACUGUUAAUACCGCAGUAAUGUCUACGGACCAAAGUGUGGGACCUUCGGGCCACAUGCUAUCGGAUGCGCCUACGUGGGAUUAGCUAGUUGGUGGGGUAAUGGCUCACCAAGGCGACGAUCCCUAGCUGGUUUGAGAGGAUGAUCAGCCACACUGGAACUGAGACACGGACCAGACUCCU